rnacentral:rRNA from 1 species
AGUGAACGCUGGCGGUAGGCCUAACACAUGCAAGUCGAACGGCAGCACAGUAAGAGCUUGCUCUUACGGGUGGCGAGUGGCGGACGGGUGAGGAAUACAUCGGAAUCUACUUUUUCGUGGGGGAUAACGUAGGGAAACUUACGCUAAUACCGCAUACGACCUACGGGUGAAAGCAGGGGAUCUUCGGACCUUGCGCGAUUGAAUGAGCCGAUGUCGGAUUAGCUAGUUGGCGGGGUAAAGGCCCACCAAGGCGACGAUCCGUAGCUGGUCUGAGAGGAUGAUCGGCAACACUGGAACUGAGACACGGUCCAGACUCCUACGGGAGGCAGCAGUGGGGAAUAUUGGACAAUGGGCGCAAGCCUGCUCCAGCCAUACCGCGUGGGUGAAGAAGGCCUUCGGGUUGUAAAGCCCUUUUGUUGGGAAAGAAAAGCAGCAGGUUAAUACCCCGCUGUUCUGACGGUACCCAAAGAAUAAGCACCGGCUAACUUCGUG